UUUUUUUUUUUUUUUUUUUUUUUUGCAGAGUAACACCUUAUCCCGAUCUCAAGGCUUUGACCCCAUUUUUCGGCGUUGACCAUUACAUGAGGGUCAUGUGUUCAUCCCCUCUCUCCUCAAAACCACCAAAACCUUGGCCUCCUAGCCAACCCCAGCCAUCAACACCACUACCUAGCAACCACUAGAACCACCUCUCAACCUCCGACACUAACACCACAACCUAUCAACCUAGUCGCCAUCUAAGCCUAAUCAAAUUACACUAAACCCACCAAAAAAAUCCCUUUUCUUUCUUUUCCCCUCCAAUUAGACUUUCUCACUCGUCUAAUCUUCCCAGAAACCCUUGAAUUUUUUUCAAUUAAAGGGGAAAACUCCAUUGUUUUGCCGAAUUGCAGCAAAGAACAACCCCAUUUAAUCUAAUUUCAAGCUGAUAGGUUUGCUUCUAAGGCCUUUCAUAAUAAUACAAGUGAUUCCUCUGCUCACUUGUCUUCAGCUUUGGUAGACAACUUUGGUAAGGUACCCUUCACAGCUCCGCAAGGUUUUAUGAAGUUCAUCUCAUGGAAUUGCCAAGGACUAAAUGACCAAAGUUCUCCGAAGCUUUCUUAUGUGUUUUGGUUACUACACUCUUUUGUUCCUAACCUUUUGUUUCUUUUUGAAACUAAAGUUCCAGUCUCAGUUGUGACUAGCUUACUUAGUAGUCCUUGUCCUACUACGGUUUUUGGGGUUGACUUGAAUGGUAGUAGUGGGGGUUUAGCGGUUUUUGGGUAUGGCACGAAAGAUGUUUCUUGCAUUUUUUGUUGUUCAAACGUUGUACUUUGUAAUAUAAAAGUAUCUAAUGAAAUAAGUAGAUGUGUGAUGUUAAUUUA